ACCUGCUAAAUAGCCCCUCUCGCUUUGGCGGGUGGCAGGCUUCUUAGAGGGACUAUCGGCUCAAGCCGAUGGAAGUUUGAGGCAAUAACAGGUCUGUGAUGCCCUUAGAUAUCCUGGGCCGCACGGUAAGACAAUCUUUUUUUACAACUCCAUUUUAGAUCAAUGUUGCUAACUAUUAUUAUAGCGCGCUACACUGACAGAGCCAGCGAGUUUUUUUCCUUGGCCGGAAGGUCUG
rnacentral:rRNA from 1 species